CCUACGGGAGGCAGCAGUGAGGAAUAUUGGUCAAUGGGAGAGAUCCUGAACCAGCCAAGCCGCGUGAGGGAAGACGGCCCUAUGGGUUGUAAACUUCUUUUGUCGGGGAACAAAACCCGGGACGUGUCCCGGACUGCGUGUAUCCGAAGAAAAAGCAUCGGCUAACUCCGUGCCAGCAGCCGCGGUAAAACGGAGGAUGCGAGCGUUAUCCGGAUUUGUUGGGUUUAAAGGGUGCGUAGGUGGUCCGUUAAGUCAGCGGUAAAAGUGCGGGGCUCAACCCCGUCGAGCCGUUGAAACUGGCAGACUUGAGUUGGCGAGAGGUACGCGGAAUGCGCGGGGUAGCGGUGAAAUGCAUAGAUAUCGCGAAGAACUCCGAUUGCGAAGGCAGCGUACUGGCGUCAGACUGACGCUGAGGCACGAAAGCGUGGGGAUCGAACAGGAUUAGAUACCCGUGUAGUC
rnacentral:rRNA from 1 species